UACGAAGGGGGCUAGCGUUGCUCGGAAUUACUGGGCGUAAAGCGCACGUAGGCGCUUUCUAAGUCGGGGGUGAAAUCCUGGAGCUCAACUCCAGAACUGCCUUCGAUACUGGCGAUCUUGAGUCUGGGAGAGGUGAGUGGAACUCCGAGUGUAGAGGUGAAAUUCGUAGAUAUUCGGAAGAACACCAGUGGCGAAAGGCGGCUCACUGGCCCGGU
rnacentral:rRNA from 1 species